rnacentral:rRNA from 1 species
CCUACGGGUGGCAGCAGUGAGGAAUAUUGGUCAAUGGACGAGAGUCUGAACCAGCCAAGUAGCGUGAAGGAUGACUGCCCUAUGGGUUGUAAACUUCUUUUAUAUGGGAAUAAAAUGUUCCACGUGUGGGAUUUUGUAUGUACCAUAUGAAUAAGGAUCGGCUAACUCAGUGCCAGCAGCCGCGGUAAUACGGAGGAUCCGAGCGUUAUCCGGAUUUAUUGGGUUUAAAGGGAGCGUAGGUGGAUUGUUAAGUCAGUUGUGAAAGUUUGCGGCUCAACCGUAAAAUUGCAGUUGAAACUGGCAGUCUUGAGUACAGUAGAGGUGGGCGGAAUUCGUGGUGGAGCGGUGAAAUGCUUAGAUAUCACGAAGAACUCCGAUUGCGAAGGCAGUUCACUGGACUGCAACUGACACUGAGGCUCGAAAGUGUGGGUAUCAAACAGGAUUAGAUACCCUUGUAGUC